AGAACGUAGCGAAAUGCGAUACUUGGUGUGAAUUGCAGAAUCCCGUGAACCAUCGAGUCUUUGAACGCAAGUUGCGCCCGAAGCCAUUAGGUUGAG
rnacentral:rRNA from 1 species